rnacentral:lncRNA from 1 species
UUGAAAGUUCGUUUUCCAUUAAGGUUAACAGGGAAGAUAGACUUCCUGAAUAACUAUGCACUGUUUCUGAGUCCCAGUGCCCAGCAAGCAAGUUGGCAAGUAAGUGCUAGGUUCAAUCAGUAUAAGUACAACCAAAAUUUCUCUGCUGGAAACAACGAGAACAUUAUGGAGGCCCAUGUAGGAAUAAAUGGAGAAGCAAAUCUGGAUUUCUUAAACAUUCCUUUAACAAUUCCUGAAAUGCGUCUACCUUACACAAUAAUCACAACUCCUCCACUGAAAGAUUUCUCUCUAUGGGAAAAAACAGGCUUGAA